GGGUGAAAGGGCCUGAAUUUGUUCAUGGGCUCUGCACCUUCACUCGCGGAGGGUACAGUGAGACUUCCCUAUAGGUCCCACCUUGUGUUGCCUUCAGCACCCUGUGAUAUGAGUGGAAAUUGUGACAUUGCAGUGAGCCAGAGGGGCUGCUGAGCUUCUUUGAACAGCAUGACACAGGCUGGAUCAGGACUCCUUUCACAAAUGGAAGGGACUACUCAGCUGAGAAUGGGCAUAGCUGUAAAAUUAAGCAAAGAGCAAGAACAAGAAAUUGAAUACAGCUCCUGAGCAAAGGAACAGGGAGUUCGUGAUAGGUUAUCAGACAGUUUAGGAAGAAAUAAUUGGUUGCUACUGUGGAGAAGGGAUUGUUGCCCACUGGCACUUUAAAGUCAUUCUGUAUCCCAAGUAACAGCAAUUCAAUACCCUGGAGUCCCUUGGAAAAGCUGGAGUCAAAUGUUAAAGACACACAAGGAACUCAGACACACCGAACCAAGACCAAACCAAGCAGAGAACAGAAGGGAUUUCCUUUGCAAUCUGCUGGUGUAUCCAUUUUCUGUCAAGCUUGUAUAUAUGGCUUGUGGCUGCAUGA
ensembl:lncRNA